UUUAGAUAUAAUUAAUAUUGUUAAUCAAUAUUGUGCAGGCAUUAUUUUGAAUUCACGUUUUUUCUAUGUACAUAUAUAUUUUCUUAUGACCACAUAAUGAGACAGGACUCUAUGAUUAAUUGUUAUGAUUAUUACAAUUAUGUCAUAUUAACUUGCAGCGUGAUCAAUUAAAUCUUGCAAAAUUAAUAGAGAAUCGAAUUAGAAGGAAGAGUAGAGGAAAAAGAUCUCGACGACUAAUGGGUUCGUCCGCUUAGGAAGAAACGUGAUCCGAAGAUGGCUGCAAGCAAUGAGAAGAGAUUAAAGCAGUCGUGGCCUCGACAUUAUGUAAGGUCGUCUAUAUUGUUAAAUCGACGUAUCGAGAGGACUUCCUUUCCUUCAAUUAUCAUUUUGUUUCUUUGGCUCCCAUUCGAGAAAUAUCGAUCAACAUUUACAAUGGGAACAGAAAGGGAUUCAAAUUGACAAAAAAUUUCUCCCAAUUUGGGAAUUCAAAAGGAUUUAAUUCUUAAGUUGAUAUGAGAGUCUGAUGUAAACUUGAGAGAUGGCGUUAACUUUGAGUUACUUUUUUUUACAGCUGGUUUUUAUUUUAUUUUAUUAGUAGUAAAAUUAAAUUAUUUCCGGUAAGACAAUUGAUUUUAACUUUAAUACCAUUAACAUUGAAAAUAUUAGAAUAGAACUAUAAUUUAUUAUUUAGAAACAAAAUUCAACAUAUAUCAAAAAAUUGAAGAUUUCUUUAUAUAAAUGUAAAGUUAAAGAAAAUUUUUUUAAAAAAAUUAAAUAAAUUAUGGGAUUUAUUUCCUGGUUGUCUGUGCAGCAUCCUGCAAAAUUUUUCCAGAAAUGUUUAUUUUAGUUCUUAUGUAUAUAUAGACUUGAUUAUCGCGUGAUGUCUAUAAUUAAUUGUUGUUAUGGGUAUAUCCUUGCAGAAAAUGUGUGGAGACAAUGAAUAUCCUGAUUUUAAUCUUCAUUGCAUGAAAUCUAAAAUCGUAACUUGUAUAUAUAUAUAUAUAUAUAUAUCUGUUAUCUACUAUUAGCGCGUGAUUAUACUGGCUUCCUACAUUCUCUGUGAGAUGAACUUUCCCGAGUAUAAACUUAUGGAAAUACGACAUUUCAAAUUGCUAAUAGCGCACUGCCAACAAGCGACGAAAGAGCGAACAAGCUCUGCUGGCGAUUUUUUUCAUGCUCUUACCGUAUAAAUUAUAUGUUACACUGAGCAGAAGUCACGGAUCAGACGACAAUUCAUUACAAAAUUUUACAAGUCUGAUUCUACCAGAUGCCUUUAUAUGGUAAUGAUCAUAAUCACGAUUGUAAUCAUAGUUUUGCGAUUGCAAUCUUUAUAUAUAUUUGUACCAGCACUAAUGGCUUAAUAAGAAUCAAAUUUGUUGAUUUCAUCUUGACAAUUUUCACAAAAUAUUUUAUAUAUUUAUUAUAAUGCAAAAAAAGAAAAAUAAAUUUCUUUCACCGACCAUUAAUAUUGCGUCUGAAAGAAUUAUUUUAAUUAUCAGAAAGAAUGCAAACAAUUUUA